CCUCUGAGGGGCGGGAGGCCGUGGGUCACCUGCUACCAGGAUUUUAACGAGCGAAGGAGAGGGGCCCAGGCCAGAGACGCGAGGAGGAGAGGGAGAAAACUCCAUUCCCUGCAGGCCGAAACGGAAGUGAAUGACAGGGGCCUACCACUGCCGUAAGGGCAUCGGGCAAAAUGUGUCCGUCACGGGAGCGGCUAGGGUCUGGCGAUUUGCCCGAGAGCUACUGACAGCUGAUGUUCAUUUUCUGGGAGGCCAUCAUCCUGGAGAAAAAGAAAUAAAGAGAAGAGAAAAAGAAAGAAAAUGAGAUAAAUGAAAAAUGAAAGCCAAAUCUUCUAGUCACAGGCAGUGAUCUUAGAAUUCAUAAGAUGUCAGAAAUAAACCAACCAAUGUCUACUCAUUAAACACUAUUGUUGGAAGUACUGCUCCAAGGUCUCAUUCAUUUCCACAUCUGCUCUAAAAUUAAUUUGCUUUGUGUCAUCUGACCCUCAGAGAUUUGUCUCUAAAUUAAAAAAAAAAAUUUCUGUUUUUGGUUUCUAAUAAAAUCUAUUCCGACCACGGCUCUAGGAACAUGUCAAAGAGCAAGUUAAUCUAGAUGACUAGAAAAAAAAAUUCAGUGUGAACAUCUUAUUUUUAAUUUUUUUUUUCCUCUUAACCCAUCAUUUAGACCCAAAGCCAAGGGUCUUGGAUGGCAAACUUGGGCUUCUGCAUGGCCCAUAAAUAAACUCGGGCUGUUCCACAGUUACUCAUUUGGCCAUUCUAAAAUUCCAGGCAGCCUUCCAGGCAGAAAGAUCUUCUUUAAAUUUUAAGUCUUUCUUGCUGCCUUCAAAUCAUCUGUUAUUAUGACGUGGUUUAUAUUGGAGCUUAUUUUAACCAAGGUCUCUAUUCUCUGCUGGAGCCAUUUAUGACUGAGGCUGGACACAUGGUUCUCUUGUACUAAAUACUGUUAGAAUCACAAUAACCAGGGUCAUAAGUAUGUGCCACCACUUACUAGAGUUCAUGAUGAAAAGGCUGCAGGAUCCUUCAAGGCAGAGACUGUGUUUUGCUCACUAUAGAAUCUCCAGGUCUUAGCAUAGGGCAUUGGCACAUAGUAGAUGCUCAAUUGUGGAAUAAAUGAAUGAACAAUAGAGUGUUUGUAACUCACUGCUAAAAAGAAACUCCUGGCAAUCACUUCGAUGCCAUUCAUUAUUUUUCUUUUCUUCUUCCUCUCCAUCAUUUUGCAGGUAAUUUCUUGGUUCCACCCAGGAAAAUAAGUCUGCUGCUUCUCAAGCAUAAUGUGCUGGCUCCUUUUGCACGAGCUGGUCCCUCCACAUGUCAUUUGCUUUUUCUUUCAGCAUUUGGGCAUUCACUUAUUCAAUGGACAUUAACUGCAUGCCUACAUGGACCAGGCACUACAGUAGUUCGGGGAGAAAUGAUGGCGAGCAAAGACAGGCAUGAGCCCUGCUCUCCUAGACCCCCUGCUCCAUUUCUUUUCUUCAUAACUUGGGUCUAACUGGCCUGUUCCAAGGCAUUUAUCCCCGAGUUAAGCACAAUCCAUUCUAAUGGCUUUACUGGAAACCCCCAGUGCUUUUUCAUUAUAUCAAUUUGCACUAUUUCUAUUUUUUGGUGUUAGAAACAAGGCGAAAUUCCAGUAGAGUGGGGAUGCUACUUGGGGAGGGAAGAGUAGCAGGGCCACAUGAAGUGCCAACCUUGUCAAGGGCUAUGUUAGGAAUAGCAGAGUGUGGGAGGAAGAUGUGAUCUCUGUUCAGCAGAACCUUGCAGGCUAAUUGGGAGACAAAACAUGCACACACUACGUAAAAUCGUGAAACAGGCCAACAAGAUAAAAAGGAGCUGUUACAAGGCUGCAUGGCUGGAUGGCUCAGCUAGAUUCACCAAAGAAGUUCAGAGGAGAAAGGGCAUAUUUUCUGGUGUGAACAGUUACAGCCGACUUCAUGAGAGAUAUGGGACUUGACCUGGCCCUUAAUGAUGGAGAGUGUGUUGACAGGCAGAGAGGAGGUACGAUGAUAUUCGGUGUGCAGUGUGUGCAAGUGGGAAGCCACAAAGUCAUGUCUGCCAAACAAGAAGUCGAACAGUUUGUCUCUAGUUAAGAGUUUAUGUGCCAUGGUAAUGGCAGAGAAAGCUGAAAAGACAGGAGAAGAUUGGCCGUAAAUGAAUACCCAAAAGAUCCCAGAAUUGAAGCCUUCAUCUCCAUUAGGAAUACAGCUUUUUAAUAAGAGGACCGUAAGUUUAACAAAUGUGAAGGACUACCUUCCCUUUACUGAGGUAUUUUUAUAGUACAUUAUCCAGCUCUUGGUUCACUCUACAAGUGAAAGAGAAAUCAGAUGAUAAUUACAAAGAAUUAGGAUUACACGUUCAGAGUUCUAAACACAAGGGUGAAUUGAAUGGUGUAUGUAAAAAAUGUUUUUAUUAAUAUGGUGAAUGAGGCCAAAUGCGGUGGCUCACAUCUGUAAUCCCAGCACUUUGGGAGGCUGAGAUCACUUGAGGUCGGGAGUUCGAGACCAGCCUGACCAACACGGAGAAACCCCGACUCUACUAAAAAUACAAAAUUAGCUGGGCGUGGUGGCGCAUGCCUGUAGUCCCAGCUCCAGCUACUCAGGAGGCUGAGACGGGAGAAUAGCUUGAGCCCAGAGGCAGAGUUUGCAGUGAGCCAAGACUGCGCCAUUGCACUCCAGCCUGGGCAAUAAAAGCGAAACUCCGUCUCAAAUAAAAACAAACAAACAAACAAACAAACACAACCAACAACGACUGGUGAAUGAAACAAAAGGCCCCUGGAAUUUAAGUUGGACAAUAGCGUUUGGGAUCUAAGUUAGAAUUUUUGAGAGUUUUUCAACAUUUGACAAGGGAUAAAAUGAUACUGAAAGUCUUCUGAAUAUUAGUAUCAUGCCUUGGCAGAGUGUCGGGUUCUGCCAGAAUGAAAGGGGCCACCUUGGGUACCCUACUGGCCUCACCCCCAAGAUUAGACAUGCACUUCUUACCAUCUCUUUGUAGAGUUCCAGGCUAUCUCGGGCAAAGUGAUCAAAUGAGCUUUCAAUGAUGAGAUACUUCGAAAAACAUGAUUGUGGAGAAGGUUGAGGAAAGGUUUUUCUUUUUAGGAUGAAAGAAACUUGAGCAUAUUUGUGGUCUUAGAAUAAGAAGCUAGUGAAAAGGGAGAGUUGAAAGAUAGGAGAAAGGGCAGGGUAGGGACAGAGGGUAGAAUUGAAGUGGUUUGCCUUGGGGAGGUAUAGGUUUACCUCCUUCUCUGAGGCAAAGAUGAAACAAAGAGAGAACCAGCAGAGGUGCGGGGGAGGGAAGUUAAAAGAGGACGGCAGGGCGAGGAAGGUGACACAAGUGUUAACUGCUGUUUACACGUAUGAUCUCUUUCCUCCUCAAACUUCCGUCCAUUUAUUAGUCCCAUUUUGAACAUGGGCAAAAUGAGGCUCAGCAAGGUUAAAUCAUUUGCUCAACGUCACACAGCUAGAAAGUGGUUGAGUCAGCAUAGAACCAGGCCUGAAACUCUGUUCUUUUUCCCACACCAGGUUGCAUCAAUUGAGGAUGCUCACUAGCAUGACAUCAGCUACAAAAGGGCUGCUUAACUGCUAAAUGGAAAUACUCAGUGAAUCCAUGAUGAAAGUGGCACCGUGGUGAGGGGGAAGGAGAAUUGAAUUAGGGGCCGAACAAACCAGACAAUAUUUGGACACGACUUAAUGGAGCCUGGGAAUCAUCUGGUGGUCAAUAAAAGAGACGCUGAGCAUUUCAGGGACCCAGUGGAACACAGUUAGAAAUUCUCUGUCAAGUGGAGACUGGGUGUCCACUAAUCUGGGAUGUGUCAACGUGACCUAUUAGGGCCAAAACUCUAGGAUCCUAUGUGCAGCAAGCAGUGCAGCAAGGCCUGGCUGACACCGGGCAGAAUAAAGUUGCAUGGAGCCAACAGGGUUGCCCUAUGAUCGGCACAGGCUGUGUUUACCAGCCUAGGUGUAAAUAUGGGGAAAGAUAGCUGGGUUUCCAUAAGAGCAGCCCCUACUUAACUUACUGAGAAAGAUUCAGCUCUUGCUGAAUAACCCCACCUUCUUUUCACUCCCCACCAUUGGCAUCUUUUCAGAAACUUGCCUUCACCUGGCUUUCCUCCCACUGCCAGUUCUUGAGCUGGGAGUUUGCUCUCUAGCCACCUCACAAUGGAUUUCCUUAUCAUUUCCCAGCCCUGUCCUGGUCCUAAUCUCCUAUCAAGGUUCCUAGCAACUCUUUCAGAUACUGGGGCCUGGAGGUCAAGGCCUCCAGCUUUAAAUUCCAGUGAAGGUUUGAGCUUCCCCUGGGUUAUUAGUUCACAUUGAAGCAAUGCAAGUAGCGAAACAACUCUCACAAGCUGUCAGAGAGGCUUUUGACUCCAUAAAUCUUAAAACGUUCCAGGAUUUUUUUUCCAAUGAAAUAAGGUGUCUCAGCUGGAGUAGGUAAAACACAUACAUGUACACACACACACACACACACACACACCCCAUGACAGUGAAAAAGUCUGCAGUGUUUUUAUAUAAAUUUUGAAGGUUUUCAGCAUAAUUGGAUAAAAAGGCUUAAACAAUUGGCUUUGCAGGGAUCAAAUCUGUACCUGCGCCAUACAGAUGGAUGAUAGAGAUUUAGCUAACUUACUGUCAUGCAUCAAUAAAAUAAAUAGGGACGUUAAAAACAUACAUUUAUAUAUAUACAUCUUUAUCACCAUUAUUCAGAAUAGAUUAUGUGCCAAAAAUGUGCUAUGAAUUUUCUAAACGUGACAAAUCUGGCAGUAUUUUACAAAUAGUUAUAGUAUUAUUACCAUACAUUCUGGUCUGGUGGUGGUUUCUGAAGUUCGACGCAGGCUGGUUGUAGUUUGAGGUUAGUAGUUUUUGAUUUAGAAAUUCCCAUCCACCACUUGGCAGAGCAUUGCAACUGACACGAACAAAAUUAGUUUGCAAAAUGGAAAAUGAACUCUCACCACUGUCCAUAGGAGACCUGGCCUCCUGGUCUCCAUUUCUCUAGGGGUUACUGGGGAAGAGCUGUGGGGAGGCUUGUGGGGGAACGGAUGUGAAGUCACUCUGUAGUGCAGAAUUCCUCGCUUUCCUCUGGGAAACCAUUUCAGGCAUCAUGCUUUAGAAAAUUCUCAUCCCCUUGUGGAUUUUUGGUUUUGAAUCAUGGAUCUGGUUUGCAGUCUAUUCAUUGCCAGACUCUAUUAUUAAUAUCUGUAAACUCAGGAGAAGCAUGGCAGUCUUGAGCAGUUUACUGCUAGAAUAUUCCCACUUAGUUUUAAACCAUUCCAAGGUCAUUAAAGGACGCUUCAAUAGCAGUUCCACUGCACCUCCCAGUGUGCUUGACUCCUAUUAACCGUCCCCACCUGCAUGGCACCCCCAGUCCCCUUGACUCUCUUCAGCAUGGCCCUAUGAUUCUCUGUCUACAAUUCACACUGCACUUUGGGAGAAAAUGUAAGGCAAGUUAAGAUUUAUCUUAGAGCAAGGACAGGAUAAAAUGCCCAUAUGGAAACUGCAAUUCCAUGUCAUUGUUUAAAAUUUAUGAAUAUAAAUAAGUGGUUUUAUAUAUUAUUACAGUGUCAUUGGGCUUCACUUAAUUGCUAGCAAAUUCUACCAGCACAAUAAGAUGAAUGUUUACAUUUGUGUGUGUGUGGGUAGGGCUGAUUUUUGUUAGUCAACAUGGAAUAUCUUGGGAGAUUAUCCAGGCUUCUAUUUUUUCUUCUUUCUCUUGCUCUCUUUUUCUUUUUGGAUAUCUGGACUUAGCAGAAUCUUUUCAAAAGAGUAUGUAGGUGGAAUAUAGGAGGUAAACUAAAGUGUAAAGGCCAGGAAGGUGAUACAAAGUCUUGAAUUGGCUAAAUAACUAUACUUGAUUUAUUUAAACCAGUCUGUUCUUCUAGUACAAAAGUUCUUGAACUUCGUUUCAUAUUAUAAUCACCUGUGAGCUUUUAAAAGUCCUGAUGCCAGGAAGCCAGUGCAAACCAAUUAAAUCAGAAUGUCUGGGGGCAAAACCCAGGCAUCAGACCUGUGUUAGAGGCUCCAGUGGGCUUCAGGCUAGACUCCUUUGAGCCUCAGUUUUGUUUUGUUUUUUUUUCCUUGAGACAGAGUUUCGGUCUUGUUGCCCAGGCUAGAGUGCAAUGGCACGAUCUUGGCUCACCGCAACCUCUGCCUCCCGGGUUCAAGCGGUUCUCCUGCCUGAGCCUCCCCAGUAGCUGGGAUUACAGGCAUGUGCCACUACGCCCGGCUAAUUUUUUAUUUCUAGUAGAGACGAGGUUUCUCCAUGUUGGCCAGGCUGGUCUCGAACUCCCGACCUCAGGUGAUCUGCCCGCCUCGGCCUCCCAAAGUGCUGGGAUUACAGGCAUGAGCCACUGUGCCCGGCCCUCAGUUUUUUUAAAUCUGUUAAAUUGGCAAAAUAAUUUGAUGUAAAACAUAGAUUCAUAAAAUUAUAGCAUCCUAGGGUAUCAGAAGAAUAACUCGGGAUAAGGUAGAUAAACAUUUUGAAAAUAAAAAUGGAAUGACAGCAAUAUAUUUAAAAUAUCACAAUGAUGAUAAUUUGAUCCUAAUUAUAUAUAAGAUUUUUUUUCUGGAAAUGUCAAUUCUGUUUAUGAACUUAUCAUGAACCGACAUGUUCUAUCAAUAAAGCAUCAUUUGUGGGGAAAGUGACUCAACCCUCUUUCCAAUUCCUGGAAAGGUCAAGAUAUAUUAUUGCCUAUUUUAUUCUUAUAUUAUAAUAAAUGUGCCUAAAUCAUAUUGUUCUCCACUAGAUGGGUAAUAGGGUAAAGAAACGUAUUUGGGAUAAUUUUGUUGGUAUUUUGUAACUACAUUAAAGUAGCUGUGAUGCUGCAGAAAGUAACAGAGCUGGUGAUACACAUAUUAUCUAUCUGGAUCUGUGACACACAAACAGGACCAUGUUGGGGGACGACAGUCUUUCUUCCUUAAUCAAGCUUCUCAUUCACCAACAUUAAUCACAAUUUGCAUUUCAUCAGCACAUAGCAAUGGAUGAAACAGUUGUCGCCUGGCUCAGACUCAAAUUCACCAAAUAUUUGCUAAGUACCUACAAGGUGCUAGGACUUCAGAUUGCCCUCUCAGACUCUUCAACUAUAUGAUCCUUUUCCCAUCCUUAUAGCAAGUGGAGAGGAGAAUCCUAUUUUCUCCAUUUCACAGAUACGAAAACAGGUUUGAAGGAGAGAAAAGACUUGCCCAAGGUCACACAGGUGAGUGAGCUGAUGCUCCUCCCGUGGGUCUAUAUUCCUCUUCCAGACGUGUGGCUGCUUACUGACGAUGGCUUUGUUCAUGUGGCUCAUUGGAACCAUCCACAGAGAGGCCUCGCUCAUGACUCUUUCAACAACAGAGCAAAGGGCGAGAAUACGGCAGAGCACGGUGGGAUUCGGACCCAGGACGUGUGAAAAAUAAAGGUGAACUUAGAGGAAGCUCCUGGAUGAGGCUAAAACAAGUGACUUUUGCCAAAAAAUGCCUUUAGGAAAUCUAAGAGGAAAAACUGAAAUGGACAGCAGAAAUCUAAGAUCCAGAAGGAGCCAUGGGACAUAAUUAUCAGCAAAGUGGGACCAUGUGUAAAACUGUGCACAAAACCAGGUAGAGGAGGCAGAAAGUUACUGCUGAGACACGUAUAUAUUGCCAUAAUGAGCAACUUAUUUUUUCACUGGUAACAGCCAGAAGCCUUCUUAAUUUUGUUUCUUUACCACAGUUGAGUUGGGAUAUUAUUAAUAUAGGGCCAUUUGGUCUGGAAUCAGGGGAAGAUUCAUGCCGUUCCCAACAGCAUUCCAGACCCCUCAUGUAUACAAACAAAUUUGCUCACAUUUACAAAGUUAUCUUCUAGCAAACAUGCACAUUCUGCUGGAACUGACUGUCAGAUAUCUUCUUCCCAGUCUUCUCCAGGAUUGAGCUCUGGCACCUCCUUCUCUGGGCUCUGGGAAGUCUCCCCACAGAGCAGACUGGGGUAGCCGUUCUCACUACCCUGGAACUGUCUGGUUGUAUCAGACUUUGUUCCUAGAAG